CCGCUCCUUGUAGAUGACGGUAUAUUCUUUAACGAGAGUAGUGAUGCAAAUAUUUGUUAGGGGUCACCUUUGGCUAAGUACUGUCGUGAUUAUACAAUAUCUGAUAAGACCAUUAUGGUUGAUACGACUAUAGUCAUAAAUCAUACCAUAGUUUGGCAAGCCAAAAAUGUGUAUGAGCAAAUUGUCAUAUCUGUAUCUAAGCUGGUUAUUCCACAUGGGGAGCCGAAAAUCUGUAUCUGCCUUCAAAAAUAGAAGUUAUAACGACUUCACGAAGCAUGAU
rnacentral:lncRNA from 1 species